AUUGAACGCUGGCGGCAUGCCUUACACAUGCAAGUCGAACGGCAGCACGGGGCAACCUGGUGGCGAGUGGCGAACGGGUGAGUAAUGCAUCGGAACGUACCUUUCAGUGGGGGAUAACGUAGCGAAAGUUACGCUAAUACCGCAUAUUCUGUGAGCAGGAAAGCAGGGGAUCGCAAGACCUUGCGACGAUUGAGCGGCCGAUGUCAGAUUAGCUAGUUGGUGAGGUAAAGGAUCACCAAGGCGACGAUCUGUAGCGGGUCUGAGUGGAUGAUCCGCCACACUGGAACUGAGACACGGUCCAGACUCCUACGGGAGGCAGCAGUGGGGAAUUUUGGACAAUGGGGGCAACCCUGAUCCAGCCAUGCCGCGUGAGUGAAGAAGGCCUUCGGGUUGUAAAGCCCUUUCGGCCGGGAAGAAAUCGCACGGGCUAAUACCCUGUGUGGAUGACGGUACCGGAAUAAGAAGCACCGGCUAACUACGUGCCAGCCGCCGCGGUAACAC
rnacentral:rRNA from 1 species